AACGAACGCUGGCGGCAUGCCUAACACAUGCAAGUCGAACGAAGGCUUCGGCCUUAGUGGCGCACGGGUGCGUAACGCGUGGGAAUCUGCCCUUAGGUUCGGAAUAACAGUUAGAAAUGACUGCUAAUACCGGAUGAUGACGUAAGUCCAAAGAUUUAUCGCCUGAGGAUGAGCCCGCGUAGGAUUAGCUAGUUGGUGUGGUAAAGGCGCACCAAGGCGACGAUCCUUAGCUGGUCUGAGAGGAUGAUCAGCCACACUGGGACUGAGACACGGCCCAGACUCCUACGGGAGGCAGCAGUGGGGAAUAUUGGACAAUGGGCGCAAGCCUGAUCCAGCAAUGCCGCGUGAGUGAUGAGGCCUUAGGGUUGUAAAGCUCUUUUACCCGAGAUGAUAAUGACAGUAUCGGGAGAAUAAGCCCCGGCUAACUCCGUGCCAGCCGCCGCGGUAAAAC
rnacentral:rRNA from 1 species